UACGUAGGGGGCAAGCGUUGUCCGGAAUCAUUGGGCGUAAAGCGCGCGUAGGCGGCCCGGUAAGUCCGCUGUAAAAGUCAGGGGCUCAACCCUUGAACGCCGGUGGAUACUGCCGGGCUAGAGUCCGGAAGAGGCGAGUGGAAUUCCUGGUGUAGCGGUGGAAUGCGCAGAUAUCAGGAGGAACACCAAUAGCGAAGGCAGCUCGCUGGGACGGUACUGACGCUGAGGCGCGAAAGCGUGGGUAGCAAACAGG
rnacentral:rRNA from 1 species